CGCUCUCCAACGUCUUAACGUUGGAACCGUCGUCUUGUUUCCUCUUGCCUUUCCUUACUCUCCUUUUUGUGAAUUAUUUGCACCGGUCCAGAGUUUUCUUCGUCUUCUCACCAUUCCUUGAGCCCCUACUUCAAGUGGACUUUACGGAAACAGAUCUGGUUUUUGCCUUCUGUCCCUGUCACGUUUUUUUUUUUUUUUUUUUUUUUUUUUACUAUUUAUUCAGCAUACCUUGUUAACAAAUUUAGCACUAUUCUUGUACAAUUACAUACAGUUAACCAGAUUAUAACCCGUGAUUUUAUUAUCUGUUCACAGAGGCGUAUGCGGUCAUGAUGCUGGUCACCCUAUGCUCCGGCUACGCAAUCAGUUCGAGGUCCCGCUGCUUCUACGGGAAGAUACACAAACUUUUCACGGCCAAUUGCAGCGAGCAGGACUUGCAGAAAGUGCCGCAAGAUUUGAAAAACAGCACAGAGGUUUUGGACUUAUCAGACAACAAAAUCAGGAUCCUGAGCAAUUCAAGUUUCAUUUACUACACCUCGCUGCAAAUCUUAUACCUAUCGGAUAACCGAAUCCUGUACAUCGAGGAGGGGACUUUCCUCCUCUGACCGAGCUCAAGACUUUGGACCUAAGUUCUAACUCGCUCCGAAAAGUGCCUUAUGUUCUUCCUUCUUCUCUCGUCAAACUUUACCUGGCCGCUAACCCUAUCGAAGAGGUAUCGUUCUCGAACGCCAACUCCUUGCAGUACCUCUCGCUGGCGGACAACCACUUCGAGACGCUGCCGAGACUGGGUUGAUGCCGAGCCUGGUCCAGCUGAACCUCUCCGAGACGAAGAUCUACCCGCGGCUCACGCCCGACUUCCUGGCCACCAUGUGCCGCCUCCAACUCCUCCACCUCCCCCACAACCUCCUCGCCUCCCAGGAGGAGAGCUGCGACUGUCUCCGCCUCAGCGCCUGGAUCCAGGAGAGGCACAUCAAGGUCGACCAUCUCAGCUGCAAGCCGCUCGAAACGGAAAAUAGGCUCGAUUGCAAUACCACAGUGCCACCGCAAACAAUGGAGCUGUACGCAGCCUGCCUAGACGAGUGGGACGACAUGAACAUGCCGUAUUUAGCUCUCUUCUUGGGAUCAGCUUGUCUCCUGACCAUCAUUCUAAUUGCACUCCUGAUCUGGCUGAGGCGACGUAGAUCCAGGACAACCAGAACACCCGAAAAGGCUAUUAAGGAUCCCGAGAUGAAAGAACCUUCUCUCCUAACUUCCUAG
rnacentral:lncRNA from 1 species